CCAACCCCUGUGACAUACCUUAAUGUUGCCUCGGCGGAUCAGCCCGCGCCCCGUAAAACGGGACGGCCCGCCAGAGGACCCAAACUCUAAUGUUUCUUAUUGUAACUUCUGAGUAAAACAAACAAAUAAAUCAAAACUUUCAACAACGGAUCUCUUGGUUCUGGCAUCGAUGAAGAACGCAGCAAAAUGCGAUAAGUAAUGUGAAUUGCAGAAUUCAGUGAAUCAUCGAAUCUUUGAACGCACAUUGCGCCCGCUGGUAUUCCGGCGGGCAUGCCUGUUCGAGCGUCAUUUCAACCCUCAAGCCCCCGGGUUUGGUGUUGGGGAUCGGCUCUGCCCUUCUGGGCGGUGCCGCCCCCGAAAUACAUUGGCGGUCUCGCUGCAGCCUCCAUUGCGUAGUAGCUAACACCUCGCAACUGGAACGCGGCGCGGCCAUGCCGUAAAACCCCAACUUCUGAAUGUUGACCUCGGAUCAGGUAGGAAUACCCGCUGAACUUAAGCAUAUCAGUAAGCCGAGGGANGGAUCAUUAUGAGCUUACAGUACCAAACCAAGUGGAGCGACGUGAGUGUUGCCCGGGCGGAUACCGGCCUGACUAGGAAUAGCCCCGAAGAACCCACUCUAACGGUUUCUCAGUGGUUACAUCCCACUAACACAUCUAAUCUCUUUCAACAUUCACACGGAUCUGUUGGUUUCUUGACAUCUAUUAAUAAGCAUCGAAUGCUAUAGUUAUGGUGAUAUUNUNAAAUUCAUGNNNCACUAUAUNNUUAGUAUUGGCGUCGCUGGUAUUCCGCGGGACUGCCUUUUCAAGAUUUAUUUCACCCACCCCGAGCCUCGUGUGUUGUUGGGAUGAGCGCUUACCCU
rnacentral:rRNA from 1 species